GACGAACGCUGGCGGCGUGCCUAAUACAUGCAAGUCGAGCGGAACUGGGGGAGCUUGCUCCUUCCAGUUUAGCGGCGGACGGGUGAGUAACACGUGGGCAACCUGCCCUGCAGAUCGGGAUAACUCCGGGAAACCGGUGCUAAUACCGAAUAGUUUGGCGCCUCUCCUGAGGCGCUACGGAAAGACGGUUUCGGCUGUCACUGCAGGAUGGGCCCGCGGCGCAUUAGCUAGUUGGUGGGGUAACGGCCCACCAAGGCGACGAUGCGUAGCCGACCGGAGAGGGUGACAGGCUACUGUGACUGAGACACGGCCCAGACUCCUACGGGAGGAAGCAGUAGUGAAUCGUCCGCAAUGGACUCAAGUCUAACGGAGCAACGCCGCGUGAGUGACGAAGGUUUUCGGAUCGUAAAACUCUGUUGUGAGGGAAGAACACGUACCAACGAACUAUUGGUACCUUGACGGUACCUCACCAGAAAGCCACGGCUAACUACGUGCCAGCCGCCGCCGUAA
rnacentral:rRNA from 1 species